UCAUCACCAUCAUCACCCGGCAUAACCUUUCAGGUUCGUGCUGGAAGGUCGUGUAAAUCGCCUUCCAGUGGAAUCCCAGAUUAAGAGACCCCCGGAAGGCAACUUCCGGGGGUUUUUCGUU
rfam:Lacimicrobium alkaliphilum strain YelD216, complete genome.